UGCACAUAGUGACUGAAGUGGGAUGGGA
rnacentral:piRNA from 1 species